rnacentral:lncRNA from 1 species
AUUAGCAGAACUAUGCUCAAGGAGUUGUCUCCAAGGAGCCUCACCUGCACCUAGGCCUGCUUUAGCUGAUGAAACUCUGGGCUUUGAGCCUGAGACCAAUUCUGCAACGGGAUAAAGCAUUUCGGGUCUUGAAAGAUGGUGAGUAUACUUUACAUGUGGGGAGAAUGUAAGCAAUUUGUGACCAGAGGCAUGCUGUGGCAGUUUAAAAGCAUGACUCCAAAAUGCUUUAUUACUCCUCCCAUUGAGAAGGAGGUUUAUGUUUUUUUCUCCUUAAAUUCAGGCUCUUCGAUAGCUUGACCAAAAGUAAAUGGCUGAAGCGAUUCUCCACCAGUUUCUGGAGCCAGGGCAUUAAAAAUGGUGGAUUUGAGUUCUUGUAUUUCGUGAUUGCCCCUGGGACCUAACUACCACGCUGUGAGAAGAGAAGACCCAGCAGCCCGUGGGGAGGCCCAUAUAAGAGGAAGCCAAGCCCUCAGCCAUCAAUCAGCACUAAUUUCCUAGUGCUGUGAGUGACCUGCUUUGGAAGUAGAUCCUGCAGUCCACAAAUGUUUAUGGUGUGGAGAAGUGAAGAACUGAUCUUGCUGAGUCCUGCUCAAAUUGCAUAUUAACCCUGAGCUAACAUCUGCUGCCAAUCCUCCUCUUUUUGCUGAAGAAGACUGGUCCUGAGCUAACAUCCAUGCCCAUCUUCCUCUACUUUAUAUGUGGGAGACCUGCCGCAGCAUGGCUUGCCAAGCGGUGUGUAGGUCCACACCCGAGAUCUGAAUCAGCAAACCCAGGUGGCUGAAGCAGAUCAUGCGAACUUAACCGCUGUGCCACCGGGCAGGCUCUGACAAAUUUUUCAUUGAAUUUUAACUUUUUUAUUUUAUAAGAAUAAAAUAGAUUCUCAAAAUCUUUAACUUGCAAUCCUUUUAUCAUAGAGAGUAAACAUUUCUUUAUUUGAAUUUCAUCUAAUUAACUAAAUUAUUAGAUUUUUCCCUCUUGACUCUUGAAGUAUUACUAGUUUGAUAGCUUUCUUAUAAAUUACAGUAAGAUAAUAAAUAUGUAAACAUUAAUUCACCCAUUGAUAGAAGAAAUAUUUU